CCUCCCUCCACGGGGACUCUAUGGAGCUAUCCAGCUUGCCAACCACUGGAGUAUGAACACCUUCAGCCUAGCCUAUACGUUGGGUCAGUGAGUCAUCACGAUGCUGUAGGAAGAAUUUGGUCUGCAUGUGGCGUCUCUGUGCAUUUCCCGGUCCUAUAUCUGACUGCCGGCCAGCUAGGACUCCACAGUCUCCGAUGCGCACGGCGAGCGCCCGGUAGACCAUACCGUUGGUGGUGAUGGGGCUUUUCACUCGUGUCUGUUGGAGUUUGGAGGGAUGCUGGUCGUCCGAGAGCAUGUGAUCUGAUCAGACAAUUUUGUCUGGGAUUUUGAAGAAGGUUUUUUGUGACUACAUCGUGCGAUCCAGACUCGAAUGUUUUGCGCUCAUAGUCUGUUUCUUUUUCCUUCUCGCUCGCUCUCUUGUGCCACCGCUCCGCCUCCCCCUUUUCGCAACAUUGACGCAACCUAUAAAUACUGGAACAAAAGAACAACUUCCUUGAAGCCUGCUGAAACUGCACUUACUCUGGACAUGGAUCCUUGCUGUCAAGUGGAUGAAAAUAUCGAGAGGAUAUGAUUAAGUAUAUCUUCCAGCGAGUUGCGCUGUGUGACCCCACUCGAACACUCGUCUCCAAGGCGCAUAGUCCUAAAGCGUUAACUCCCCCCCUCCGUUGGCCAUUGAAGAGAACGCUGCGUGGGCUGCUAGAUCAUUUGAGAGUGCAUUUUUCUCCUCCAAUCCGCUACACAGAGCACACUCCCCAUAUGCCCAAUGGGGAGAAGGGGUGUCUCUAACGAAUUUGAAUGAAGAGGGUAGCUUUCGGCGCCAUUUUCGAGUGAGCUGCGAUUGCUUCAACAGCUGAGAGGAGCGGCUGCAGUGAGUAGGCAAGACGAGCUCUGGAGCUGUCGCAAGAGACGGACAUUAUUUUCGGAGACUCGGAAAAUUAUAUACAAAAAUUAUCCCUAAAAAAAGAACGCCGAUGGAUAAAGAAAAGGGAUAAUAAGGCCAAGACUACGUCGUAUCAGGACUGGGGGAAACGUUAGAUAGUUACUGUAACGUUAGCAUUACUAGCGAUAAGAAAUUGGUGUCUGACUUGGCGUCUGUUGAAAUGUAACGUUUAUAAAUGCAUUUACGACAAAAUAAGUGGACCUCUCUAAAAAAAGAAGCAAACAUUUUAGAAAAAAUAUUUCCGGGUCGAUUGAGUGGAGAAUGACCGGUAGAAUUUAGAUUUUUUUUUGUUGUUUGUUGCGUUUUAGUCCUGUUUUAGAGCGUUCCGUUUGAGCGGGAGGUGGAAAAGCGGGAGGCGCUGGAGUGAAGAGCCAGUCGGCACCGCUGUCAACAACAUGCACUGCGAGAUGAAUCUUCAUAUCGUUGGCUACCUCUUGAAAACGCUGCAAGGAUUUUUCUGUAAAGCCGAGGACACCUUUUCAUGUUUGAUUUAUUCAUUUUUUUUUUUAAAUGUAUAUAUAUAUAUUUUUUUAAAGGAAUUUUAAAAGUCUUACUUGUUUCACGUUUUUAUCACGUUUCUAGCUAAGUUAACAUUGGUGGAUUCGCUUGAUUGAAAACGUUAUACAACGUUUUAUGGUAAGUGUCCAUUGAUUGCUGUUUUAACUAACAAGAGAACGUUUGUUAGUCAACUAUCAAAUCGACAAUUCCAGCAGCUUGGCAUACGAUGUCUACAGUGUUUGCUCAAUGAUUGUCAUGUUUGUUUUUACCAUCCCGAUGCAAUUUGCCUUUGAGUAACUAGCUGCGUCGUGUAACGUUUUAGGCAGUCUGAUUUUGCCUGCCGGAACAGUUGCCACGUUUUGCUAUCAUUCUUUUGAUUCAUCGUGACUUAUUAGCCCACAUUUUUUUGUUUUUUUGUUUUGUUUUGUUGCAUUGGACAUAAUAUCAGCUGUAGUUAUCGUGUUUUGCCUUUGAUUGAGAGGGCGUGUUUGCUCAGUCAGGCGAGUGCCACAUUGUAACGACUGUGAUUACAACAUAGUGUGCACAUUUUUUUUUUUUAACCAAACUCUUGGCUACUGUAUCCUGUACGUGAGCACACGAUAAUCAAAUUGCACAUUGUACGAGCAGUGUCAGGGCUGCUUGAUUGUGAUACAAUGUUUCAAUAUUGACUGACUGAUACCAGGUAGUCAGAAUAUGAUUUGCAUUGAAUAGUAAGUAUGCUAUAAUGUAACGUUUGCUACCGGAAUGAGUCCUUUUCUGCAGUUUAAACUGCUAGUUCAAGAACUUGUGGGAUUUAUUCUGUGGAUGAGGAGGCGGCUUGCUGGCACACGUAAGAUGCAGUAAAGUAGCCUCUCAUACGAGUCAUACUUGUUUUGCCCCGUCUUUCAGACUACUGAAAUCGUGGCGGUGUGUAGAACAUGCGUGUAUCUCUCUCGCAUAUCUCAAACUAGAAAAAAAAAUGGUAGUCCUACUCAACAUGGAAAUUAUAUUAUUUUCCCAUUAUAUAUAUAUAUAUAUAUGACUACACUCGUUCUUUUAAUCCUGCCUCACCAUUGCCUUUAGCUACUACACUGCUCAUACAGAAUAACCCACUGUUCUUUCAGUCGUUUCUUUUUAUCCUGAUCUCCUUUCCACCUAACAAUUUAUAUUUUUGCUAAACAAUCAUCUCAGGGGGAAAAGAACAAUGAACACCACUUUGAUACAGCUACGACUUUUCUUCGAUAGAGCUAUGACUUUAUUGUAGCGGUAAGAAGAAUUAAGCAGCAGGUUAUGAUAAUUAACGUAGCAGGUUAGGAGAAUUAGGUUACGUUUAGGAAGAGGGUGAGUGUUAGUGAAAAUGCUCUCCUAACCUGCUACAAAAAAGUAACUUGUAGCGAAGUGACUACUCAGCACUUCCCCCUUAGUCGCUGCUGCAGUGGGGGUCAAUUGUCCCGACUGUCAAUUAUCAUAAUUGAUGUAAAUGUUUCUUCUCCUGUCAUGUGAUGUCAAAAUGGGGUUAACAAGAGUGAACGUGGGCCAUUUUCCACAUCAAGCGGUCCCAGGCGCUUUGAAUUGAGGCACAAAAAAAAGGCUCCUCUAGAUUUUAUUUUGUGUGGGGGGUGGUGUAUUAAUAUAUAUUUUUUUAAAUACACCGGAUUCUCAAGAGUUGAGGCUUUACUAAUGUAAUUAAUUAUUUAAAGUUGAAUAUGACACUUUCCCCAUUCAUUUGUCUCAAUGAUUUUUCCUGUCAGAAACAAUAUAUUGAUUACUUAGGGUUAUGCUAAAGAUUUUACAAAACUGAGUUAAGUCUAAACUGUACAUGUCCUCUACAGUACAACCAAAGAUGUACUCACUGCUGUUUAAUCCAGGGAGUGUAUUACUGAUACAGCAAAAUCCCAGUUAUAAUUGAAGCUAAGACAAUAUAUAUUGUUGCUACCAUUGUUGCACAACAAAGACUAUGUAUUGCAUUCUGUAUCAAUUAGGCCGCCCGUGUAGUUAGUCAGUUAAAGCAUAUAGGAGUUUCUUUUUUUUAACCGGGAGACGGGAGUAGUUCUGAUGGCAUUUUGUUCCUGUGACCUCUGCUGAACCCAGCAUGAGGGAAAAUCCCUCUGAAAACCACAUUGUGGAGGUGGUGAUGCAUGAGGCUUUUUUUUUCUUCCAUUUUAAAAAAAACCAAAACUUCAUAUGAUCGAGAUUCCACAUUGUCAUUCCAAAUGAAAAUGUUAUUUUGAAGAGAAGUGUUUGGUUUGUAUGAGUGUUUGGACAAUGUCAUGCACCAUGUGAAAUGGCUUGACUGUUUUGAAGUAAUAGCAAGUGACCCCCCCCCCCCCCCCUCACCUGUGAGUAUUGGGUUGUUUGUGUUUACGUAAACGGAAGUGCAGACUGGUGUCUAAGAAACCCUCCAAUGCAAUAUAAGUCAGUGUAGUUGUGAGCAAGACAUACAGCACAUAUAAUGCUCAAAUCCUACAGUAGUUUUGUAUCAUACAUUUCCUCAAGUGAUCCUAAUGUUUGCACAGCAGCAUUUGCAGGAAGUAGAUUGAAAUUAGCAUAGGCUAAAUUAUGUUGCUGAUAAAUGUAAUGACUAUUCUUGGAUGUGUGAAAUAUUAGUGCUAGCUCUCUCAUUGUUUAAAAAAAAAAAAAAAGAAGGAAAUGGAUCUGCUUUAUUAUUAGUCAGUUGAGUAGGCUGGUAGUGAAACACGGAGUGUUUGUGCAGUUCUAGAACAUUAGUAUGACAUUCUGUGACUCAUCAUUCUGUGU
rnacentral:lncRNA from 1 species